rnacentral:sRNA from 1 species
UCCGUUUAGGUUUGAAUGGGGGGGUA